UUGACCUCGGAUCAGGUAGGGAUACCCGCUGAACUUAAGCAUAUCAAUAAGCGGAGGAAAAGAAACCAACAGGGAUUGCCCUAGUAACGGCGAGUGAAGCGGCAACAGCUCAAAUUUGAAAUCUGGCUCUCUUUGGGGGUCCGAGUUGUAAUUUGCAGAGGAUGCUUUGGCAUUGGCGGCGGUCUAAGUUCCUUGGAACAGGACAUCACAGAGGGUGAGAAUCCCGUACGUGGUCGCCUGCCUUUGCCGUGUAAAGCUCCUUCGACGAGUCGAGUUGUUUGGGAAUGCAGCUCUAAAUGGGAGGUAAAUUUCUUCUAAAGCUAAAUACCGGCCAGAGACCGAUAGCGCACAAGUAGAGUGAUCGAAAGAUGAAAAGUACUUUGGAAAGAGAGUCAAAAAGCACGUGAAAUUGUUGAAAGGGAAGCGCUUGCAGCCAGACUUGCCCGCAGUUGCUCACCUAGGCUUUGGCCUGGGGCACUCUUCUGCGGGCAGGCCAGCAUCAGUUUGGGCGGUUGGAUAAAGGCCUCUGUCACGUAUCUUCCUUCGGGAUGACCUUAUAGGGGAGGCGUAAUGCAACCAGCCCGGACUGAGGUCCGCGCAUCUGCUA
rnacentral:rRNA from 1 species